AGAGUUUGAUCCUGGCUCAGGACGAACGCUGGCGGCGUGCCUAACACAUGCAAGUCGAGCGAUGAAGCCCUUCGGGGUGGAUUAGCGGCGGACGGGUGAGUAACACGUGGGUAACCUGCCUCAAAGAGGGGGAUAGCCUCCCGAAAGGGAGAUUAAUACCGCAUAACAUUAGUUUUUCGCAUGAAGAACUAAUUAAAGGAGUAAUCCGCUUUGAGAUGGACCCGCGGCGCAUUAGCUAGUUGGUGAGGUAAAGGCUCACCAAGGCGACGAUGCGUAGCCGACCUGAGAGGGUGAUCGGCCACAUUGGAACUGAGACACGGUCCAGACUCCUACGGGAGGCAGCAGUGGGGAAUAUUGCACAAUGGGCGAAAGCCUGAUGCAGCAACGCCGCGUGAGUGAUGAAGGCCUUCGGGUUGUAAAGCUCUGUCUUUGGGACGAUAAUGACGGUACCAAAGGAGGAGCCACGU
rnacentral:rRNA from 1 species